ensembl:lncRNA
CAUCUUCCUCUUUUCCCCCCUUUAGGUUGCUUUGCAGUUCACAGCUAAAGGAAAGAUGACUUCAAGACAGAGAUUCACACACACACAGAGGACUGUUCCCAAACCAAAAGCAUCCCUGCGUUUAACACAGCCCAGGAGAGGGCAAGGUUUCUGGUAUUUGCUGAGUCCACUGCUGAGAAAAUGAACUCCAUGCUGGCCUCCCACAUCUUCAUGAUGGAUAACAGUUACUUGAAAGAAGCCGAGCCCAGCAUAGACAAAGAGCAGAAAGAAAGAGCCCGUGGUCCUCGGGCUGCUCAGAGCAGCAGAAGCCCACAGUCACCUCGACGCUGGAGACUCUGCUAUCAGGAGCUGGGGGCGAAGGAAAUAAAUCAUCUGGUACCCUGCCAGCAAACUGCCACAGGCGCUUUGAGACUGGAGGCGUUUCUCCUGCCCCGAAAGAGCAUUAAAAAAAAACCCUGGCUGAUAACUUGGACGGGGUUCAGCCGGCAGGUCGUGAACACUUGUGUUUAGAGGUGUCGGCCGAGGAAUCCAACCUGCAAAUAAAGAACAGCAACAGAAGUUGUGGUUUUGUUAU